AUUGAACGCUGGCGGCAGGCCUAACACAUGCAAGUCGAACGGUAACAGGAAGCAUCUUGCUGCUUCGCUGACGAGUGGCGGACGGGUUAGUAAUGGCUGCGAAGCUGCCUGAUGGAGGGGGAUAACUACUGGAAACGGUAGCUAAUACCGCAUAAUUUCGCAAGACCAAAGAGGGGGAGCUUCGGGCCUCUUUCCAUCGGAUGUGCCCAGAUGGGAUUAGCUUGUUGGUGGUGUAACGGCUCACCAAUGCGACGAUCCCUAACUGGUCUGAGAGGAUGACCAGCCACACUGGAACUGAGACACGGCCCAGACUCCUACGGGAGGCAGCAGUGGGGAAUAUUGCGCAAUGGGGGAGAGCCUGAUGCAGCCAUGCCGCGUGUAGGAAGAUGGAGCUCGGCUUGUAGAGUAAUUUAAGCGGGGAGGAAGGAAGUAAAGUUAAUACCUUUGCUCAUUGACGUUACCCGCAGAAGAAGCACCGGCUAACUCCGUG
rnacentral:rRNA from 1 species